rnacentral:lncRNA from 1 species
UUGCUUCCUUAUGUAGGGAAGGGUUUCUUGCAAGGCAUAGCAAUUCAGGCUAGCAGCCUGGGAUGGUGCAAAAUCAAGAUUCCACAGAACUUGGCUGGGUCAGGAUUCUACAUCAGUUGGAAACUCUCUCAAGCUGGGUGGCAGACUGGAAGGUGGGCCUAGUGUUCUCCCUGAAGAAAACAAAUGAGGCGCUGCCAAGGACUUUGGAGUAUCAAAUAAGGCGGAGAUCAGCACAGUUUAAAUUCUGA